rnacentral:lncRNA from 1 species
AUCACUUAGGUGAUCACUGCAGAGAUAUGUCACAAUACACCCUGUAAGCAGAGCCUAGAAAAGAGUUACAUCACCUGGGUGAUCAGUGCAGAGAUAUGUCAUAAACCCCACUGUAGGCAAAGCCUAGACAAAUUUUACAUCACCUAAGUGAUCAGUGCAGAGAUAUGUCCCAAUGUCCCUCUAGGCAGAGCUUAGACAAGAGUCACAUCUCCUGGGUGAUCAGUGCAAAGAUAUGUCACAAAGCCCCCUGUAGACAAAUCCCAGAAAAUUGUUACAUCACCUGGGUGAUCAGUGGAGAUAUCUGUCACAAUUCCCCUUUAGGCGCAGCUUAGACAAGCGUUACAUCACAUGAGUGAUCAGUGCAGAGAUAUGUC